CUGGCUCAGGAUGAACGCUGGCGGCGUGCCUAACACAUGCAAGUCGAGCGAGGAGAAAAGAGCUUGCUCUUGGAUCCUAGCGGCGGACGGGUGAGUAACGCGUGGGUAACCUGCCCUAUACACACGGAUAACAUACCGAAAGGUAUGCUAAUACGGGAUAAAGCUAAGAUAAGGCAUCUUAUCAUAGUCAAAGCGAAAGCGGUAUAGGAUGGGCCCGCGUCCCAUUAGCUAGUUGGUGAGGUAAAAGCUCACCAAGGCGACGAUGGGUAGCCGACCUGAGAGGGUGAUCGGCCACA
rnacentral:rRNA from 1 species